rnacentral:lncRNA from 1 species
CUCUGCUCUCAGGGAACUUAGCUUAAUAAGCAAAUAAAUAUAUAUGUCAGCUGGUAAAAAUGCUAUGACACAAUAACUUGGAUGAAUCUCCAGGGAAUUGUGCAGAGUGAAAAAAGCCAAUCCAAAAAGGUUAAUACUGUAUGAUUUCUUGUAUAUAACAUUCUUGAAAUAACAAAACUAUAGAAAUGGAGAACAGAUUAGUGGUUGCCAGGGGUUGAGGAGGGGAUGGGGGUUGGAGAAGGUGACCACUGAGGGAAACUGAGUAAAGGGUACACAGGAUCUCUCUGUAUUAUUUGUUACAACUGCAUAUGAAUCUAUAAUUAUUUCAAAACAAAAAGUUUUUUUUAAUGCUAUGAAUAGUAAAUCAGGCUAGGACAUCAAGAGAGAUGAGGGGAUUUAUUUUGUAUGGGAUAGUUGGGAAAUGCCUAGCUGAUAAAGGAAGUUAGGGUAUUAUACAUGAACAUCUGGAGCAUUUUAGAAGUACAAAGGCCCUGAGAUAGGGUGUGCUUGAUGUGUGUAAGGAAUCGCAAGGACACCAUUGUGGAUGGAGUAGGGAGAGCAAGGGAGAGAGCAAUAGGAAAUGAGAUCAGAGAGCUGGUACAGAUGGUGGUGGUAGAGACAGAUCAUAUAGGGGCUUAUAAGUCACAUUAAGGACUGUUUAUUUCAUUCUGAGUAAAAUGGGGAGCCAUAGGAGAGUUUUAGGCAGAAAAGUAACAGGAUUGAACUUAUGUUUUAAAAGUGUCACUUCACUGGUUAAAAAAUUGACUGACUCAGGGGGACAUGCGAUGAUGGUGGUUUGGACUGAGGUGGCAGAGGAGGAAGUAAUGACAAGUAGUGUGAUUAUGAAUAAGUUUUGUAGGUACAGCUAAUAGGAUGGUCUAAUGGAUUGGAUCUGUGAUGUGAGAGAAGGAGAGGAGUCAAGAAUGAUUCUAAGAUUUGGGCCUGAGCAAGUAGAAGAAUGGUGUUACUACUUUUAUGAAAUGGAGAAGAUGAAGGAAAAGCAAUAUGGGGCAGAAGAUCAGCAGUUUAGUUUUGGGCUUAUUGAGAUGCUGGUACACAUCCAAAUGGAAAUGUCCAACAGCAUUUCUAUUGGUUAUGUAUACAUGUCUGGAGUUUGAGUAGGAGUUGGGCUAGAUAUAUGAAUUUGGGAGGCAAUAGCAUAUAUAUGCUAUUUAAAGUCAUGGAUUGGAUGAUAAUUCCAAUGAGUGAGUGUUAUGUAGAUAGAUAAGAGAAGAGGCUUAUGGGGGCCGGCCUGGUGGCGUAGUGGUAAGUUCAUGCACUCCACUUCGGCAGCCUGGGGUUUGCAGGUUCAGAUCCUGGGCACAGACCUAGCUCGUCAAGCCACUAUGUGGUGACAUCUCACAUAAAAUAGAGGAAGAUUGGCACAGAUGUUAGCUCACGGCCAACGUUCCUCACAAAAAAGAGAGAGAAAGAGAAGAGGUCUAUGGAGUGAGACCUGGACACUCCAAAUUUUAGAGGUUGGGAAGAUAAAGGAGAACUCAACAAAGAAUGCAGAGAAGAAAUGGCCAUUGAGGUCGGAGAACCAAGGAGAAGGGUGUCUUGGAGAUCAAGUGAAGAAGUGUUUCAGGAAGAAGAGACCAACCACAUAAGUCAGUUGCUACUGAUAGGCAGAAUGAGAUAAGAACUGAGACUUGUCCUUUAGAUUUGACUGCAUGGAGGUCAUUGGUGAUUUUGAUAAGUGGAGUUUUGGUAACACAGUGGGAGGAAGACCUGAUUGGAGUGGGUUGAAGAGAGAAAGAGGGCCAGUGGAAAUUAAGUACAGACAAUUCUUUGCAAGAACUUUGAUUAGGAGAGAGGAGGUACGAAAAGAAGAGGCAGUAGCUUUAUCCUAAGAACAAUGGGGAGUCAAUGAAGAACUCGUGGUGUCCACCCUGUCAAAGACAGUUUAAAAUACUUGAUAUGACUGCUUUGUUAAUGUCUUUAUUAGCUAUUAUAUGCCAAAAGAGUGAUAUACUAGCAAACAUCUUAAUUUUGUGUGCUAUGAAACAAUAUCAUUGAAAGUGAAUAACUCACUAUUUAAGGAACAUUAGAUUUUAAGUUAUUUUGUUGUUUUUUUUUAAAGAUUGGCCCUGAGCUAACAUCUGUUGCCAAUCUUCCUUUUUUUUUUCUUCUCCCCAAAGUCCCCCAGUACAUAGUUGUAUAUUCUAGUUGCAAGUCCCUCUAGUUCUGCUAUGCAGGAUGCCGGCUCAGCAUGGCUUGAUGAGUGGCACUAGGGCCGCGCCUGGGAUCUGAACUGGUGAAACCCUGGGCCUCCAAAGUGGAGCACGCGAACUUAACCACUCAGCCAUGGGGCCAGCCCCUGGAUAUCAAUUUUUUUUUUUAAAGAUUUUAUUUUUUUCCUUUUUCUCCCCAAAGCCCCCUGGUACAUAGUCGUAUAUUCUUAGUUGUGGGUCCUUCUAGUUGUGGCAUGUGGGACGCCACCUCAGCGUGGCUUGAUGAGCGGUGCCAUGUCCGUACCCAGGAUUCAAACUGACGAAACACUAGGUCGCCUGCAGUGGAGUGUGCGAACUUAACCACUUGGCCACGGGGCCAGCCCCCUGGAUAUCAAAUUUUGAUUGUCUGCUUUAAGUAAUAAGAGAUUUGUUCUACACCUUUAUGUGUGUGUGUGUUUGUGUGUGUAUAUGUGUGUGUUUGCCUUAAAAAACCCUUUAAUGUAGAUUAAUGUGAAAAUACUCCUUGGUUCCAGGGGGUUGGCCCCAUGGCCGAGUGGUUGGGUUCACAUGCUCCAUUUCAGCAGCCCGGGGUUCCCUGGUUCGUAUACUGGGUGCGGACCUAUACACCAUUCAUGAGGCCGUGCUAUGGCAACAUCCCACAUAGAAGAACCAGAAUGACUUAAAACUAGGAUAUACAACUAUUUACUGGGACCUUGGGGAAAAAAAAUGCUCCUUGGUUCCAGAAAGAAAUACAGACGUGAAACCAGUUUUAGUAAUUGUUUUCCAAAUUAGCCCAUUGUAUUAUUGGCUGGAAUUCUGCUUUUAAUGGACAAAUCUCUUAAAAGGUACAGAUAUAAAAACUAGAGAUGGAGGGGAGGGGAGCUCCUGUGAUGCAGGAGUUCUGGACAUUUCUGCCAUGUGGACUGAAUUGUAGACAGAGCCUGUUUGCAGAGGAAAUAGUUAUACGUAACAUUUACCAAAAAUUUACUACCAAACUACCAGGUAGUACACAGAGGUGCAGAGGGGUAACCUGCCCAAAGCACUACAGCUUACAAGUGGUCGAAUUGGGAUCUGAACCCAGAAGUCUGGCUCAGGAGCCCAGGAGCUUCACCAGCACCCUCAGCAGAUAAACAGAAAGAAAUUGAGACAACUGAUGGCAGGAAUACUGCUUAAAGUUGUUUAAGCAGAAAGCAAAAAGGGAAGUUUAUUAUAAAGACAAAAUAAACCUGGCUAUCUCCCGGAAUCCAAAAGCAGGACCAGGGCAAGGUUUCGGGAAGGACUGUGAAUUGGUGACUCAUCAUGAAGCAGGCAGGAUGUUCUCAUUCCCAAAUGGCAGUCUCCAUACACAGUUCAUGCAGCAUGUGUUUGGGGCUUCUACAAAUAAUGUUUUAUCUUCAAUUAUGUUUUUUUCCAUAAGUAUACAACAGGUGCAAAUAACAUACAAAAGCAUAGACUUUCUUCAAGUAGAGAGAAGCAGCACCAGCCUGGGAGUCUGAAGAUUUGCUUUUUGUCCAUUCAGAAAUGUUCAUGGAAACUUUCAGGAGUGAUGGAUAUGUUCGAUAUCUUUAAUAUCUUGAUUGUGGGGUUGGUUUCACAGACGUAUACAUAUGUCAAAACUUAACAAAUUGUACGCUUUAAAUAGGUGCAGUUUGUUGUAUGUCAUUUACACCUCAGUAAUCUGUUUAAAAUGUUUCUGGAGUAACCACAAUGUUGCUGACUCUGGGCUAGUCUCGCAGGUCACAAAGAGGACAUAGCUGGGACCCCAGCCCUCAAAAGGCUUUGAGCCAAGUGUGGGGCCCAGUCGUGGAAGCACAUAACUCACAGCACAACAGGGAGGGGCCAAAACAUGGAGACAAGGUGCUGUGGCGCAACUUCCUCUUCUGUAAUAUCUGCCCGCCUACCUCAAAGGACAUGGAAAUCCUACUUUUUUUCCUUUCAAACAAAAACAGGAAAUAACUUGCCUCCUCUCCACAUUUCCCAAAUCUAAAAGUAAUUCACAAGAACAGAUGGUGGACUGAGAACAUGCAUCUACACCACCUCUCACCUAAAAUUCAUGCAUUCAUUCUUCCAUGCAUUCAAAAUACUCAGUAUUUAUUGGAUACCUUCUAUUUCCUUGGUUUUACUUUUCUACAUGCUAUACACACACACACCCCAAUUUAUAACAGCUUGGAAGAACAAGAAAGAGCUUUAUCAGAAAUGUUGAGAAGUUCCUGAGAAAUAUCAGACAGGAUCAGAUAUAUGCAGGAACAAAACUGAAGGAAUCAUAGCCCAAAAACCUGCAGGAGAAGGCUAUAAAGAUAGGAGUUUGGUGUCAUACCAGCUCCAGAAUCAAUGGAUUAAACAAGUGACAGGGACAAGCCAAGCCCUGGACAUUCAUCAAAGUGAUUAAUUGAGGGGCUAUGUAAGAAGUAACUAGGCUGGUUGAUCACCAACCUGUCUCCCACUCCUCCACUAAACAGCAAGUAGCGGCAAUGCUCAUUCAUAGGCUAAAGAAAGAAAUAUGGACACUGAAGCCAGAGAAGGCCAUUGCUGCCUCAGCUAGAUCCUGACCAUCAGGAGGGACAGGAAACCCCACCCCGGAAAAGAAGUCAUUAACACUCUCUUCCCAGUAGCAUAUCCCUUUCCCUUUAAUUACAAAAGGCAAGCUAUAGUAGCAUAUACUGAAUUUAUUGAGCAGGAAACUAAGGGUUAAUGGAUACAAAGAUAAAAAGAUAAAAGAAUCAUCAAAAUUUUGUGGAAUACCAGUCCCAUAUAGGAAAAGCACUGAAUUUGACAAGCAGAAUUAAACACUCAAGAGAAGAGAGUUAAUAUAGCAAAAAGAAGGACUCAUUGGGUGAAUAAGCAAAAUUAAUAUUUUCAAUGUGAUGUGAAAGAAUACUACAACCAUAUUAAAGAGUCAACUUGAGAUCUUGGAAAUUAAAUUUUUUUAUUUUUGAAAUAAAAAGAUCAAUAGAUAUUCUGUUAGUAAAAGAGAGGUAGCUGAAGAAAAGUUAGUAAAUGGAAGAUAGAGGCCAAGGAAUUCUCCUUUAAUGCAUUUCAAAAGAUAAACGUUAACAGAUGUAGAAGUUUCAAUAUCCAUGUAAUGGAGGCACUGGAAAGAGAGAAAGGAAAGAAUAUAGAGGAGAAAAUAAAGUACUGAUAAAAGUAGAUUUCUCAGAGUUUAAGAAAGAUACA